rnacentral:rRNA from 1 species
GACGAACGCUGGCGGCGUGCUUAACACAUGCAAGUCGAACGGAAAGGCCCUGCUUUUGUGGGGUGCUCGAGUGGCGAACGGGUGAGUAACACGUGAGUAACCUGCCCUUGACUUUGGGAUAACUUCAGGAAACUGGGGCUAAUACCGGAUAGGAGCUCCUGCUGCAUGGUGGGGGUUGGAAAGUUUCGGCGGUUGGGGAUGGACUCGCGGCUUAUCAGCUUGUUGGUGGGGUAGUGGCUUACCAAGGCUUUGACGGGUAGCCGGCCUGAGAGGGUGACCGGACACAUUGGGACUGAGAUAAGGCCCAGACUCCGACGGGAGGCAGCAGUGGGGAAUAUUGCACAAUGGGCGGAAGCCUGAUGCAGCAACGCCGCGUGCGGGAUGACGGCCUUCGGGUUGUAAACCGCUUUCGCCUGUGACGAAGCGUGAGUGACGGUAAUGGGUAAAGAAGCACCGGCUAACUACGUG